UUUUAUGAGAGUUUGAUCCUGGCUCAGGACGAACGCUGGCGGCGUGCCUAAUACAUGCAAGUCGAACGCUUCUUUUUCCACCGGAGCUUGCUCCACCGGAAAAAGAGGAGUGGCGAACGGGUGAGUAACACGUGGGUAACCUGCCCAUCAGAAGGGGAUAACACUUGGAAACAGGUGCUAAUACCGUAUAACAAUCAAAACCGCAUGGUUUUGAUUUGAAAGGCGCUUUCGGGUGUCGCUGAUGGAUGGACCCGCGGUGCAUUAGCUAGUUGGUGAGGUAACGGCUCACCAAGGCCACGAUGCAUAGCCGACCUGAGAGGGUGAUCGGCCACAUUGGGACUGAGACACGGCCCAAACUCCUACGGGAGGCAGCAGUAGGGAAUCUUCGGCAAUGGACGAAAGUCUGACCGAGCAACGCCGCGUGAGUGAAGAAGGUUUUCGGAUCGUAAAACUCUGUUGUUAGAGAAGAACAAGGAUGAGAGUAACUGUUCAUCCCUUGACGGUAUCUAACCAGAAAGCCACGGCUAACUACGUGCCAGCAGCCGCGGUAAUACGUAGGUGGCAAGCGUUGUCCGGAUUUAUUGGGCGUAAAGCGAGCGCAGGCGGUUUCUUAAGUCUGAUGUGAAAGCCCCCGGCUCAACCGGGGAGGGUCAUUGGAAACUGGGAGACUUGAGUGCAGAAGA
rnacentral:rRNA from 1 species